CCUACGGGGGGCAGCAGUGGGGAAUCUUAGACAAUGGGCGCAAGCCUGAUCUAGCCAUGCCGCGUGGGUGAUGAAGGCCUUAGGGUCGUAAAGCCCUUUCGCCGGGGAAGCGGUACCCGGUAAAGAAACCCCGGCUAACUCCGUGCCAGCAGCCGCGGUAAUACGGAGGGGGUUAGCGUUGUUCGGAAUGACUGGGCGUAAAGCGCGCGUAGGCGGAUCGUCAAGUCGGGGGUGAAAUCCCGGGGCUCAACCCCGGAAUGGCCUUCGAGACUGUCGGUCUUGAGUUCGAGAGAGGUGAGUGGAAUUCCGAGUGUAGAGGUGAAAUUCGUAGAUAUUCGGAGGAACACCAGUGGCGAAGGCGGCUCACUGGCUCGAAUGACGCUGAGGUGCGAAAGCGUGGGGAGCAAACAGGAUUAGAUACCCUUGUAGUC
rnacentral:rRNA from 1 species